rnacentral:misc_RNA from 1 species
AACUGAUUUCUUGACAUUGGG